rnacentral:rRNA from 1 species
GAAGGUGGCAAGCGUUGUUCGGAAUCACUGGGCUUAAAGCGCGCGUAGGCGGAAGUUCAAGUGUCCUGUGAAAUCCCCCGGCUCAACCGGGGAACUGCGGGGCAAACUGGAUUUCUUGAGGCAAGUAGGGGUACAUGGAACUCUUAGUGGAGCGGUGGAAUGCGUAGAUAUUAAGAGGAACGCCGAUGGUGAAGACAGUGUACUGGGCUUGUCCUGACGCUGAGGUGCGAAAGCGUGGGGAGCGAACGGGAUUAGAUACCCCGGGUAGUCCACGCCGUAAACGAUGUCUACUAGGUUGUGGAGGUUCUGACACCCCUCACAGUCGAAGCAAAAGUGUUAAGUAGACCGCCUGGGGAGUACGGUCGCAAGGCUA